CUGGAGAAGCACUAAAGUAUUUACAGCUAUCCAGCAAACAAAUCCUGAAAUUAAAACAUAAAAUUUAAAAGGAUUCAAAUUUUCUGGAAGAACAAGGAGUUUUCCAUCAAAAUGUUUUCCUACUAAUAAGUAAGACAAGAAGGUUUUCUGCUGCACUGUUUCAAAACUCUUUCUCCACAAUGAAACCUUAUCCAAUCCUCUUUCACCCUUUAAAACUGCCUACACACUAAGCUCAAUGGACAAAUUUAAUACUUUGCAACAAAGAGCAUCUAUCACUUUCAGGUUGAAUAGAGGAAUUGUUCAGACACCAGCGAGAGACACUGUCUGUCACUGAACCUGGAGCACCACACUUUGGUAGACUGAUGGGUUAGCCAGCCCCAGGAUCCUUCUGUUUUUGCUUUCCUGUUGCUGCAGUUAUAGGUGCACAGCACUAUUCUGGAUGGUAAUGUGAGUGCUAGGGAUUCAGAUCCCAGGUCCUCAUGCUUUUGUUGCCAGGACUUUACCAUUGGUCCCAGGUCCUGUAUUCUCUG